rnacentral:tRNA from 1 species
GCGGGAGUGGCGAAAUAGGUAAACGCAUCAGAUUUAGGUUCUGACGCCGUAAGGUUUACGAGUUCGAGUCUCGUCUCCCGUA